UGGAAGACACGUGUGAGUGAAAAAGGACAUUUCGUAACCAUUGGGAUCAUGAAGUACAUCUAAAUAAAACUUAAAUUCACAUAAUAACCAGUCUCCAUUUUAAGGAAAUCGUGAACUUGUGUAUUAUAAUGCUGUGCGAACUCCUGAACGUGGCGUGAGAUAAUACACAGCGAAACUGGAAGGAUCUGGAAGGAUGCCGUCAGUUCCAAGUGAAGAUUUGCAUACACCGAUGGCACAGCACUCACGCCAACCCAGUGCACAUCAACUUUUCCACCGCCCCGAACGUCAUCUUUACUAAUGCCUCUAACGCAAUUGCCUG